UUAUUUUAGACAAACGGGAUUAAUUUUCUUUUUAUACCUUAUUCUCUGUAUUUCGUCGUUUAUAUUUUCAGGCAUUCUAUACAUGUCUGGAGGGAGCUCUGAUAGCCAGUCGAUAAAUUUCAUAUCUCGCUCAAACAUCAGCUCCUCGUACGUACCAAACGGUUGGCUGGACCAUUUAGUCCUUCAAAACCAUAAAAAAUUAAGUCCACAUGUUUUCAAAACGGCAGUAAUACGAAAUAAUAGUUACAUGAUUUCGCCUAUCAACUCGUUCGGGGUAAUUCCUAAUGGAAGCUCCCAUUCCUCUUGAGUUUCUUCUAAGUGAAUAAAAAAGUUUAUAUCUAGUACUAUGUUACUACUUUUAAAAUUUAAAACAUACCUCCGGACUUAAAGCUUUCCAUUUUCUUUUGUCUACAACUCGUAUUACUUAUGGCGUAAUAAAAUAUUAAAAGAAAAAUCGCUCUCUAUAUAUACGUUUCUGGAUUCCUAAAAAUAGCACUUAAUCAAAACAUUUCAUUAGAAAAAAUUAUUUUUAUC
rnacentral:lncRNA from 1 species